UACGGAGGAUCCAAGCGUUAUCCGGAAUCAUUGGGUUUAAAGGGUCCGUAGGCGGCCCUGUAAGUCAGCGGUGAAAUCUCCCGGCUCAACCGGGAAAUUGCCAUUGAUACUGCAGGGCUUGAAUUACUGUGAAGUAACUAGAAUAUGUAGUGUAGCGGUGAAAUGCUUAGAGAUUACAUGGAAUACCAAUUGCGAAGGCAGGUUACUAACAGUGGAUUGACGCUGAUGGACGAAAGCGUGGGUAGCGAACAGG
rnacentral:rRNA from 1 species